CAGGGUGUGGCCGAGUCAGUUAGGUAUCUCCCUUACACCGAGAAUACGUCCAUGCAAGUUGGAUCGCCCUGA
rnacentral:tRNA from 1 species